GCUCUUUUACCUUUUUACAUUUUUCACUAUGAAAGUAACGAAACCCGUGCACAAUGUCACUGUGUUUUCUAUUUACAAGCCAAUCCCACGACUUUAAUUAAUUAAUACGUAAUGACUUCGAUUUGACAACAAGUUUCAUGUACAUAAGUCUAUGAUUCCACUCUCGUCUGUCGACUUUCAUUAUGAUUUUUUGUUUUUGAUUUCUCUAAACAUCUAUAAUCUUUAAUCGCGGUCUCUCUUUCUCUUUUUCUCCCAAUGGUGCUUGUUGGUAAUGACGAUAUGUUUAAGCACACAACAGUAAUAUCUCAUUGGUCUCGCUACUUAAAUUUAAUAAAGAAAUCAAUUUUAUACCCACCACCCAAGGAACAGGGCUACAUUCAUCUUACAACGUCCAGAAGAAAACUUUAUAGACCACCUAAAGUAUGUAUAUUGUUGAUCAAUAUAAAAUUCGGAGACAAUUUAAGCAUGUUCCUCUGCCCGUCUGUAUAGUGCCUAUUGCAGACAUUCUCCCUGCCGCGACAAUGGAGCUAUUGACUUCAAAUUUAGCAGAAAGAUUGGAUGUUCUUGCACGCAAGCUGGUCUUGAAAGUGGGUCAAAGCGAUCGAAGGGCACUUCUACGUAAAUUUAAAAAAAAAUAAAAACGUCUGCACUAUUGCUUCAGUACAAUGAAAGACUGCCAUAGGCCAAACGAUCAAGAUGUUAAUAGCAACCGCACAGCAGCCAUCGUAUUUACUUUUUAUUUAGAUCACAGAUACAUACACUUAUUAUGUAUUUAUGUAUUAUGUAAGUAUAUUA